rnacentral:lncRNA from 1 species
UAUUUUUGGCCGAAUUUUGUUAGCCCAUUUUUUUAGGUUGACAAAACUCAGGCAAGAAUAGGAACAAAAAUAUCUCCAAGCAAUAAAAAUGAUCAACUACUGUUUUUUUGCUGAUCAACUACUGAUAUUUAUCAUUUGCAGAUGUUUUUGUAGCUAAUCCUUGUUUUGUAGAUUUAUUUUUUAAUUCGAAUUUUUGGAUAAUUCGAAUUUUUUUAACGGUCCCCUGAGAUUCGAAUUAUCCAAGUUUCACUGUAUAUACAAUUUUUUUUUAAUUCUCGGAGGGUGUCAUGGGCCCCGUCUGAAACCGUCCUUGGUUUUAUCAGUCUUAUGAACAUCGUGGUGCGGUUAAAAAUAUACUGCAAAAGGAAAAGAGGAAGAAAGGAAGUUUAUUACAGAGUGCAUCGAUGUGUAUCGGUUGUUACCGGCUCUGUGGAAUGUCAAGAGUAAAGAUUAUAGCUACAAGAUUAAAAAAAUAAACAGUACCGAAAAUAUAACGAAUGUUAUCCAGAUCAGGGGGCAAGGAGGAUUAUGUGGGGAACCGACAUCAAAAUGACAUCUUAUUUGUUGUUGUACAUGCGCGCGUUCUAGCGUCAGAAUAAGGAACUAUGUCGAGCGCAAUCUAGGCCCCCGCGGCCGAAGUUCCGUUUCUAAUUUCUAACGCUAGAGCGUGCGCACGGUUAUAAGCUUUACAGCAAGCAAAUUAAAAUCUUUACGGAACUGUUUCAAUGAAUAUUAUUCGACGAGAGAGCACGGGAAAUUUGCACGCGGAAACAAACUUUGAAUAGGACAAUCGCUAAAUAUAUAAAGCUCUUUUCUGUGUGGCCAGUGGCACUCGUUAUCCUCAAUUUAGAAAUAAAUACACAAUUUUUUUUGUCCUCAGAUUCUCUGGGGGGGCAAUUGCCCCCUCUGCCACCCCUGGAUCCGCGCCUGAUCCAGAUGCAGAAAGUUUUAAAAAUCACUUGGUUCAGUUAUUCUUAAAUCGUUUAAUACAUUUUCAUGAGUUUACUUAUUUCUUUUUUUUUUUCAACCAUUUCUUCAUCCGCUUGUGUUUAGGUAUUUUUCUUUGUCUUUUUUAAGCUAAAACUCAUAAGAUCUUAUCAAGAUUAGCUUGUCAAUUUUUGUGUUGCGUAGGGAUGUUACAAAAGACGGAAUAAGUGGCCACUGUGAAAGAAUUUGUAAACGACAAACAUAUGAUCAAUGUUAGAAAUCAUUUGUCACAACAAAAUACCUACCUUUAUUUUUUGUGAAGUGUACCUUUUGUAAUUGUGAAUAUAAGUUUUUUCUUUA